AAGAUGAUGAAGUGAGGAAGCCUUCUCAUGGAAAGGCUUAUGUGGCGAAAGAAGAGAGCAGUGGAGGAAGAUGCUUGAUGGUGUCCGACGUAUCUCAGAUGAGGGGAUACAACACUGAUGGUGGGAAUGAUGACACGAAGGAGCAACAGAACUUGUGCUUUACAGCUAAACCGCUCAGCGUGCAGUUCAACGAGCUUGAUGAACUGAUCAAGAAGGUACAAUCAGUUUUUGUCUCAUUUAAAGUCCCACAAUGCUCAUAUGAAAAAGAAUUAAAAAGUGUUAAUUCAAGAAUCUCUCAUCUAGAUAGUAGUUUAACUCAAACUCGAGUCACCAAUUCUAACCUAACUGACCAAUUAAGCAGGGUGUCUUCGAAGAGUGAGGAACGGCGCAUGUGGAUAGAACUGAAGGAGUCGGAGUUAAUCAAAACAAAAGAUGAAAACAUUUAUUUACAAAGAGACAAUUUAAAGCUUUUGAAACAGCGAAAUGUUUUUUGUUNAGAUAGUAGUUUAACUCAAACUCGAGUCACCAAUUCUAACCUAACUGACCAAUUAAGCAGGGUGUCUUCGAAGAGUGAGGAACGGCGCAUGUGGAUAGAACUGAAGGAGUCGGAGUUAAUCAAAACAAAAGAUGAAAACAUUUAUUUACAAAGAGACAAU
rnacentral:lncRNA from 1 species